UGCAACUGGACUGGCUGUUGAAAGAACUUCUCCCUCCUUUUAAGCACACCUUCAGGCUCCGGAAGGAGAGGAAAGAGAAUUGCCCAUGUAUGUGCACAAGGGCAGUUCAGACCUGGCAUCACCUGUUACCCAUGAGGUCCAGAGGAUAAGUAAGGAGAAUGAUGUGGCAGGUGCAGCUCAGCUGAUCUCCUAUGACUCUGGAAGCGUGAAUACAAAAAGAUGAUGCUAUGGAUGGCCUCCAUCAUACACACACAUAUAUAAGUGGAAGAUAAAAAGCUCCUCAGGACCAGUACUGGCAGUACAUUGUACAUCAGCACAUUGCCUGGCAGAAUGAACCCCUUAUUUUGGAAACUGCCUCUUUGGAACAUGAAGUAACCCAAAUAAUAUCAUUCAUAAUUCCCAGGCAACAAAACUAUGUCGCUGUGGACUUCAGGU